rnacentral:rRNA from 1 species
AUUGAACGCUGGCGGCAGGCCUAACACAUGCAAGUCGAACGCGUGGCGGACGGGUGUGUCAUGUCUGGGACCCUGCCUGAUGGCGGGGGAUAAUUACGGGAACCGGUAGCUAAUACCGCAUACCAUUCGAUGUGACAAGAUGGGAUUAGCUUGUUGGUGGGGUAACGGCUCACCAAGGCGACGAUCCCCAGCUGGUCUGAGAGGAUGACCGGCCAAACUGGAACUGAGACACGGUCCAGACUCCUACGGGAGGCAGCAGUGGGGAAUAUUGCACAAUGGGCGAAAGCCUGAUGCAGCCAUGCCGCGUGUGUGAUGAAGGCCUUCGGGUUGUAAAGCACUUUCAGCGGGGAGGCGUUACCCGCAGAGGAAGCACCGGCUAACUCCGUGCCAGCAGCCGCGGUAAUAG